CUGGGGCACCCCUCAGUCCAGCCCCAACCCUGCCAUGGGCCCCAGGCCAGUGUGGUUGGUGGUUGUUUGUCUGCUGGGAGCAGGCCCCACAGACACCGGAGUUGUAGAGGGCAGAGUCACCCAGGCUCCCAGAUACUGGCUGGUCCAGAAGGGGAAGAAUGUGACUCUGAGCUGUGAACAGAACAUGAACCACGAUUACAUGUACUGGUACCGGCAAGAUCCAGGUCUGGGGCUGCGGUUGAUCCAUUUCUCCAGGAACACUGGUUUUGUUGAACCAGGAGACAUCCCUCAGGGAUAUUCAGUCUCUCGAAAAAAUAAGGUGCUCUUUCUCCUGACCCUGGAGUCUGCAGGCACGAACCAGUCAUCACUGUAUUUCUGUGCAAGCAGUUAA